CAAAGAUUAAGCCAUGCAUGUCUCAGUACAAGCCAAAUUAAGGUGAAACCGCGAAAGGCUCAUUAAAUCAGUUAUGGUUCCUUAGAUCGUACCCACAUUUACUUGGAUAACUGUGGUAAUUCUAGAGCUAAUACAUGCAAACAGAGCUCCGACCGGAGACGGAAGGAGCGCUUUUAUUAGAUCAAAACCAAUCGGCGGCGGGUCCCCCGUCGCCGUACACUUUGGUGACUCUGAAUAACUUUUUGCUGAUCGCACGGUCUCGCACCGGCGACGCAUCUUUCAAAUGUCUGCCUUAUCAACUGUCGAUGGUAGGUUCUGCGCCUACCAUGGUUGUAACGGGUAACGGGGAAUCAGGGUUCGAUUCCGGAGAGGGAGCCUGAGAAACGGCUACCACAUCCAAGGAAGGCAGCAGGCGCGCAAAUUACCCACUCCCGGCACGGGGAGGUAGUGACGAAAAAUAACGAUACGGGACUCAUCCGAGGCCCCGUAAUCGGAAUGAGUACACUCUAAACCCUUUAACGAGGAUCAAUUGGAGGGCAAGUCUGGUGCCAGCAGCCGCGGUAAUUCCAGCUCCAAUAGCGUAUAUUAAAGUUGUUGCGGUUAAAAAGCUCGUAGUCGAAUUUGUGUCCCGCGCCGCCGGUUCAUCGCUCGCGGUGUCAACUGGCGUGUCCGCGGGACGUCCUGCCGGUGGGCUUAGCCCCUCGCGGGCGGCCCAAUCUCAAUCCCGUCGCGGUGCUCUUCACUGAGUGUCGAGGCGGGCCGGCACGUUUACUUUGAACAAAUUAGAGUGCUUAAAGCAGGCUAAAACAUCGCCUGAAUACUGUGUGCAUGGAAUAAUGGAAUAGGACCUCGGUUCUAUUUUGUUGGUUUUCGGAACCCCGAGGUAAUGAUUAAUAGGAACGGAUGGGGGCAUUCGUAUUGCGACGUUAGAG
rnacentral:rRNA from 1 species